GGCAUUGACGGCUACACCUCUCUCCAAACAGACCAGCACUACACACUACAUAGAAGAGAAGAAAGCACUGUUUAAACCAGUUCUACUGUGACCUGAGCUCUCAGAGACGCUGAUGGAUGCACAGUACUGGAUGUCCUGGGUAUAGUAAAGCUGUCCCACACAGGAAUUUACCUUAAGAGGCCCAUUUAUUUAUGAGACAGAAUAACAAACAUUUGGAUCAGGACGAGGUGGCUGCUGUGCCUGUGCGGACAGAUGGACAAACUGCAACAGAGAUUUGGAUCAGGCCUGGAUCUAUUCAAGCGAGUGUGACAUACAACACUGAGCCUCCCCUAAGUGCAAAGAGGAGUGCAGCAUUCAGAAAAGGCAUUAGGACUGAAUCCAGGUGCGUGAUGAAACAAAAGCCUUCAUGGUUUUGCAGCAAAAUAUCUUUUCAAAGCAACGAGGAAGUCAAUCCGCUGCCAGUACAUUCUUCCUAAAGCUUUCUGAUUUACUCAACUGGCCAUCGCUGCAGAGCCCUUCUGGAGAGCGAGGAGGAAGCCUGCUCCUUAUUAAAACCUUCUUUUUAUCGCCUUUUUACAGCUGAAAAAAUAACCAGAUGUUUCUGAAUUUGAGCAUUUGCAAGUAAAGAGGUUUUCACCAGAAGAAAAGAAACGCAUCACUCUCUGUCUGCCCUGAAGGUGACUCCGUGGAAAUGCUUCUAUUCUCUUCCUCCUCUCACUCUCGUCACAACAAAGACUAUAGUUUAACCCCAAAAGAGAGGAUUCUUAAAUGGUAAAGAUUUAAAAUUUAAGUUGAUUUUAGUUGAUUGAAAUUACUGAAAUUUUAUUACAACGUUUUAAUUUAGUAUUUAGUAUAUAAUUUAGUUGACUGCUUUGAUCUCUGAAGCUGAAUUUUCAGCAGUCAUCACUUUUGUGUCACAAAAAAAUAGAAAUUCUAUGCUGCAUUUAUUUAUUAUCAUUUAUUAUCAAUGUUGUGCUACUUAAUAUUUACGUGGGGACUGUGAUGUUUUAAAGUUUUGUUUUAUGAAUUUAAAGAAAAUAAAGAACUGUAAUUUAUUA